CAUGUACAAUCUCGGAUUACAGUGCCUAGCUAUCGAUUUGUUCUUAAAGAAUAUCGUUCUGCACGAGCCCACGUUCGUUCUAAACCUGUUAAAGCAUAAUACAAAUGUCAAGCGAUAGCUAAGAUGUACAUCCCUUCCUCCUACGACCCCCUAUAGUAAAUCACAACACACACAGACCAUGGAGCGUCAAUUUCCUUGACAAGAAAUUAUAAUUGGCAUGUAAUAAACAAAACCUAUUAUUUAUUAAAAUCGGAAUACAAUAUUUAAGGCGUAUCAAUCUUUUUGUAGAUAUUUUGUUAAUUACAUCUAGAAGUAGGGGAGGUAAAUCUAAAUGACACGGUAAUGUGCUAAAACCAGUCCAACAUAAAUCUGUUUGCUCAAGUUUUUUUACCACUAGAAAGACUAAUCUGUGUAAAUUCUCGAAAUUGAGUUAUGGGUUACCAAGUAUACAAAUUUUAUUCUAAUGACAAUGAAAAUCGACCAAAAUUGGCUCAGGUACCGACAGAACGAUAAACAAUAAAAUAGAAAUUCAGGCACAGAAACGCUACGAACAAAUAAAAUAGGUUAAUCAAUUGUUCACUUAAUCCCGCCAUUCGUUAAUCAUUCUUUGCACAGAUUAGUCUGUGCAAAGAAGGUGAUCACGUGACCAAAAAUCCGUUUUGUCUGCGAUGCAAAUAUCGAACGCAGCAUAUAUGUUAACAAAUUAAACAACAGUAAAUUAGACUUACAGUGUUUGCUAGCGGCACGAAAUUUUCCUCGACGUGUGUAGUUUCAUUUUUGGACCGUUUAGGUACGAAACAACACGAACCACAACACCGGCCCC